GAUGGAAGAGGCUUCAGAGGGCACUGGGGCUAAUCCUAGUUGAAGCAGGAAUUUCUUCUCCAAAAACAUCUCCCAAAAGCAGACAUCCAGUCCCUGCCUGAACAACUCCAGAUGUUUGGAAAGUAACCAUGUCUGUCCCCCACCAUGGGUCCCUCUUCUUCAUCCUCUCCAGAUUCCACUACUGACUCUUCAGACUUUCUCUACCAUCCCCUCAGCAUUCCCAGUUCCCUCAACCAAGGACCAAGAAUAAAGUUCUUUCACUGUCAGAAUGAAGAUGACCUAGGGGCAGAUGGAGCACCGGCCCUGCAGUC